CCAUUUUACACACUUACCAUACCUACACAAACACACACUGCAUUAUAUAAACACACUACACAAACACACUCUGCAUUCAUUAUAUACACACACUAGACAAACACACUGCAUUCACUAUACACCCACACACUGCACAAGCUCUGCAUUCAUUAUAUACACACACACACUGCAUUCACUUUACGCAAACUACACACUACAUUCACUAUACACACAUAACACACUACGCAAACACUCACUGCAUUCACUAUACACACUACACAAACACACUGCAUUCAUUAUAUACACACUACAUCCAUACUACACAAACACACAGUGCAUCCACUACACAAACAUACACUGCAUUUACUAAUCAAAUACUCUCACUGCAUCCACUACACACACAUAUAUUCUUAAAAACAUAAAAGAUUCUGACUGGCAUGUAUAUUUUGUGCAUUUACCUUAAUAAAAAAAUAAAUAAUAAACAUGUUCAGUUAACAGUAGAUUUGUGUAGAAAGUUUAUUUUUUCAAAAUGGUAAAUGUACAGAAUAUCGGUAAGUUCUAUUGGAGCAGCACGAAGAUAGUCACCCUUACGCCAAUCUCCAUCAGACCCCAAUGCUUCUCUGUGAAAAGCCCUGGAUUAGCCUUAAAAAUCCCUACUAGUGCGAAGAAAUUCUCUAACAGCUGGAUUAGAGGUAGUUUUAGGGGUACAGUGGGCCAGAAAUCUACAGCAACAAUUCAGCACUCCAGCAUUAUAAAUAAAUAUUUGUUUACAAUGCUGGUGCAUUUCUCUAAAUCUUUGAAUAGAUUUGCAUGUGCCUUCCCUAAUGAAGAUAUUUUAUAUCUAACCUUAACAUUGUGCCUGCUUAUUUAUAAGUGCAUUUCAGUGGAAGGUUAGCAGUAGACUUGUGCACAAACUAAUUAAAUGCCUUUUACCUUUGUGCCUUAAUGAAUCACAUCUUCCAGGAUUUAUCUGUGGAGCCUUAUUCACUAAACAAAAAUUCACAGUUAAAGGGACACUAUAGUCACCUGAACAACUUUAGCUUAAUGAAGCAGUUUUGGUGUAUAGAACAUGCCCCUGCAGCCUCACUGCUCAAUCCUCUGCCAUUUAGGAGUUAAAUCUCUUUGUUUAUGAACCCUAGUCACACCUCCCUGCAUGUGACUUGCACAGCCUUCUAUAAACACUUCCUGUAAAGAGAGCCCUAUUUAGGCUUUCUCUAUUGCAAGUUCUGUUUAAUUAAGAUUUUCUUAUCCCCUGCUAUGUUAAUAGCUUGCUAGACCCUGCAAGAGCCUCCUGUAUGUGAUUAAAGUUCAAUUUUGAGAUUGAGAUACAAUUAUUUAAGGUAAAUUACAUCUGUUUGAAAGUGAAACCAGUUUUUUUUUCAUGCAGGCUCUGUCAAUCAAAGCCAGGGGAGGUGUGGCUAGGGCUUCAUAAACAGAAACAAAGUGAUUUAACUCCUAAAUGACAGUGAAUUGAGCAGUGAAAUUGCAGGGGAAUGAUCUAUACACUAAAACUGCUUUAUUUAGCUAAAGAAAUUUAGGUGACUAUAGUGUUCCUUUAAAUACUGGAUGGAUCGAUUCACUCAGGUGCAGGUUAAAAGGAAUUUGAUUUGUCCUUGCCAGCUGAAACGAAUUGUGCACAAGUCUAGUUAGCAAUAGUUCCAAGAGUGAUGUCUUGGGAAACAGUGCAUAUAAGAGGUGACAUGUUUUAUGGUACUCCUGUGUUUUUAUAACAUAAAUAUAUUCUUAAAGUGUCACUAUAGUUUUAAACCAAUGUUUGCUUCAGCUGAGGCCAAAAGUUAUUUUUCAAAUACCCUUCAAACUCUGAAAAGAGACAAGUGUACAUUUUAAAACACAUUUUGUUUCACUUGUCUUGAUUUACUAAUUGCUGAUCAGCUUGGUCGCCUGCUUCUUCCCAAAUCCUAGUGCCUUUAAAAAUAUGAAGUUCUUUUUUACAAAAGGCAUAAAAUAGAUUUCUUCACUUUAAAGCGGCACUGUCAUGCCGAAUCCUGUUUUUUUUUUAACCCCCCUCCCGCCUCCACUAUCUCUAAUUGACACCGUGGUCACCCCCAAAUGCCCUUAAGCCACCCACAUUACCUACUUUUUAAUCUUUAUUUUCUGCCCCGAUCUUUAUUCAGGGCGCCGCCAUCUUUGUGUGGGUAGAGGAAGUCCCUGUGGGACACGUCAUCUGCCCACACUAGACAGACUGUGAGAUUCCCGCACAUGCCCAGUGAAACACCUGGACAUGCGAACGGGAAUUUCAUCUAAUCAUUCAUUCAUCAGACAGACGAAUGAAUGAAUAGAAAAAUCAGACGAACAAACUAACACUGUGUAUCAGUGUUCAUUUGUUCGUGCAGUUUAUUACAAGGAGGGAGCUACCGGCACGCAGCUCCCUCCUUG